GUGCGUAAACGCUAUUUCCAAAAUUCAAGAGGUGCGUAAACGGCGUUUACGUGCGUUUACCCUCCACUACAGCCCUGCGUGUGUGAUGUUGUGCCUUUGUUUAAUGUCAUUCUGCGUGCUGUAGAAUGAUGAAAAGGCACCCAGCCCUUUCUCAUCUCCAGGCUUUCCCAAUUAAUUAAAAAUGCUUUGCAUUGGAGAAUGGAUUACUGAAAAGGACACCAGCGCCUGGCGCUCAGCCCGCACAACCCGGAAGCCCGAGAUCGCGGUGCUCCUCGCCUCGGACAGCGACAGAGGCGGAGGAACCCGGAGAGAACCCACGCAGACACGGGGAGAACAUGCAGACUCCACACAGAAAGGCCACUGGGCGGAGUUGAACCCAGGACCUUCUUGCUGUGAGGCACACCACACCACCGUGCCGCCCUCUAUUUUGUGUGAGUGGUUUGGGCUGACUGCAGCGUGGCUACCCGGACGACGGUUGGGCUGUUGACUGGGUCCCUCACUUGCUCCUCACAUUUUUCAGUUGUGUGUCAGUCAGUAUAUUCUCUUAUUUUAUUCAUUUUUUUGCUUUUGGUUUUUGAUUGAUAUUGUUUGGCGUGUGUGGAGAACUGGAGCCAGUGAGGGUCCUGUCCCAGGCCCGCUACAGCCCAGUUACCCAUAGAACCGGAGUUGUUUAGUAAAAGCUUUUUGUUAUCUUACUAAAUUCCCUGAGCUGACGGAGAUUGUUUUAAUACAUUGUUUUCAUAUCAC
ensembl:lncRNA